GGUGGAGUGCUGGAUCUUGGGCUGUGUCCCCCGGUGCUGCAGGCUCCGGCCUGCACUGCUGGAAUCGCGCUCCCAGAGCUGCACAGUUCCCU
rnacentral:pre_miRNA from 1 species